rnacentral:rRNA from 1 species
UACGUAGGGGGCAAGCGUUGUUCGGAAUGACUGGGCGUGAAGGGUGCGUAGGCGGUGUAGCAAGUUAGAAGUGAAAUACCUAGAGCUUAACUCAGGUGCUGCUUCUAAAACUGCUAUACUUGAGUGCAGUAGAGGAAAGUGGAAUUCCUAGUGUAGCGGUGGAAUGCGUAGAUAUUAGGAGGAACAUCAGUGGCGAAGGCGACUUUCUGGACUGUAACUGACGCUGAGGCACGAAAGUGUGGGGAGCAAACAGG